GAAAUGCGAUAAGUAAUGUGAAUUGCAGAAUUCCGUGAAUCAUCGAAUCUUUGAACGCACAUUGCGCCCUCUUGUAUUCCGGGGGGCAUGCCUGUCCGAGCGUCAUUGCGAACCCCUCAAGCACGGCUUGUGUGAUGGGCCCUCCCGCGUCUUGGUCGUCAAGACGGGCCCGAAAUGCAGUGGCGGCUUCGCGGUUAUCCGAUCAGCCAGAGCGUAUGGGGACUUUCUCUCUGUCACACGCCCGCGGCGCGGACCGACGCCUGUCGACCUUUAUUCAUCUUUUUCUCGGUUGACCUCGGAUCAGGUAGGGAUACCCGCUGAACUUAAGC
rnacentral:misc_RNA from 1 species